CAAAGCGUUUGAAAUCUGAAAC
rnacentral:miRNA from 2 species